UACGUAGGGUGCGAGCGUUAAUCGGAAUUACUGGGCGUAAAGCGUGCGCAGGCGGUUCGUUGUGUCGGCGGUGAAAGCCCCGGGCUCAACCUGGGAAUGGCCGUUGAAACUGGCGAACUGGAGUGUGGCAGAGGGGGGUGGAAUUCCGCGUGUAGCAGUGAAAUGCGUAGAGAUGCGGAGGAACACCGAUGGCGAAGGCGGCCUCCUGGAUCGAUACUGACGCUGAGGCGCGAAAGCGUGGGGAGCAAACAGG
rnacentral:rRNA from 1 species